AGUGGCGCACGGGUGAGUAACGCGUAGAUGAUCUACCCUUCAGUCUGGGACAACUCUUGGAAACGGGAGCUAAUACCGGAUAAAACCUUCGGGUUGAAAGAUUUAUCGCUGGGGGAUGAGUCUGCGUACCAUUAGCUUGUUGGUGGGGUAAUGGCCUACCAAGGCAACGAUGGUUAGCGGGUCUGAGAGGACGAUCCGCCACACUGGAACUGAGACACGGUCCAGACUCCUACGGGAGGCAGCAGUAGGGAAUAUUGCGCAAUGGGGGCAACCCUGACGCAGCAAUGCCGCGUGAGUGAAGAAGGCCUUCGGGUCGUAAAGCUCUUUUAUGGGGGAAGAUGAUGACGGUACCCCAUGAAUAAGCACCGGCUAACUACGUGCCAGCAGCCGCGGUAAUACGUAGGGUGCGAGCGUUGUUCGGAAUUACUGGGCGUAAAGGGCGUGCAGGCGGAUUGGCAAGCCGGAGGUGAAAGCCCGGGGCUCAACCUAGGAACUGCAUCCAAAACUAACUCACUAGAGUACGAUAGAGGGAGGUAGAAUUCAUAGUGUAGCGGUGGAAUGCGUAGAUAUUAUGAAGAAUACCAGUGGCGAAGGCGGCCUCCUGGAUCUGUACUGACACUGAGGUGCGAAAGCGUGGGUAGCGAACAGGAUUAGAUACCCUGGUAGUCCACGCCGUAAACGAUGACAACUAGCUGUUGGGAGACAAUGUCUUUCAGUGGCGCAGCUAACGUUUUAAGUUGUCCGCCUGGGGAGUACGGCCGCAAGGCUAAAACUCAAAUGAAUUGACGGGGACCCGCACAAGCAGUGGAGCAUGUGGUUUAAUUCGAAGAUACGCGCAGAACCUUACCAACACUUGACAUGUUCGUCGCGACUCUAAGAGAUUAGAGUUUUCGGUUCGGCCGGACGAAACACAGGUGCUGCAUGGCUGUCGUCAGCUCGUGUCGUGAGAUGUUGGGUUAAGUCCCGCAACGAGCGCAACCCUCACUUUUAGUUGCCAUCAUUUAGUUGGGCACUCUGAAAGAACUGCCAGUGAUAAGCUGGAGGAAGGUGGGGAUGACGUCAAGUCCUCAUGGCCCUUACGUGUUGGGCUACACACGUGCUACAAUGGCAUUUACAAUAGGAAGCAAGAUGGCGACAUCAAGCAAAUCCUAAAAAGAUGCCUCAGUUCGGAUUGUACUCUGCAACUCGAGUACAUGAAGCUGGAAUUACUAGUAAUCGCGGAUCAGCGCGCCGCGGUGAAUACGUUCCCGGGUCUUGUACACACCGCCCGUCACACCAUGGGAGUUGGUUCUACCUUAAGGCAAGGUUUAAAACCCUUGACUACGGUAUAGUCAGCGACUGGGGUGAAGUCAUAACAAGGUAGCCGUA
rnacentral:rRNA from 1 species